UACAGAGGGUGCAAGCGUUAAUCGAAAUAACUGGGCGUAAAGGGCGCGUAGGUUGUGUGACAAGUGGAGUGUGAAAGCCCCGAGCUUACCUUGGGGAGGCCAUUCCAAACGGUCAGACUAGAGAGCAAGAGAGGUAAGAGGAAUUUCCGGUGUAGCGGUGAAAUGCGUAGAGAUCGGAAAGAACACCAGAGGCGAAGGCGUCUUACUGGCUUGCAUCUGACACUGAGGCGCGAAGGCGUGGGUAGCAAAC
rnacentral:rRNA from 1 species